GAUGACGAGUGGCGGACGGGUGAGUAAUGCCUGGGAAGCUGCCUGAAUGAGGGGGACAACACCUGGAAACGGGUGCUAAUACCGCGUAUACCCUGAGGGGGAAAGACCGGAUACGGUCACAUUCAGAUGCGCCCAGGUGGGAUUAGCUAGUUGGUGGGGUAACGGCCUACCAAGGCGACGAUCUCUAGCUGGUCUGAGAGGAUGAUCAGCCACACUGGAACUGAGACACGGUCCAGACUCCUACGGGAGGCAGCAGUAGGGAAUAUUGCACAAUGGGGGGAACCCUGAUGCAGCCAUGCCGCGUGUGUGAAGAAGGCCCUUCGGGUUGUAAAGCACUUCAGUAUGAGAGUACGCACCGUUAUAGUGCCUUGAUUGACGUUACAUACAGAAGAAGCACCGGCUAACUCCGUGCCAGCAGCUGC
rnacentral:rRNA from 1 species